GCUGUCCGUAUGUACAGAUAGAAGCUCUGUCUCUACUGGUGUUAUUCUUAGUGCGGCCGCCAGAGUGCGCUGUGCCCCUUCCCUGUUCCUGGCUGAAUGCAUGCAGGGACUUGUGAUUGGAACGGAGUGAGUACAGAAGGAGCUACGGACAGACACGCUAGUCUGCAGCAUGAUAAAUAUAUAUGGUGGGGAGAGAGAGAACUGCAGGAGAUCCCACAAUCCCCAACACAUGAUUCUCUGAGAGGGAGGCUGAGCAGCCCUGUUAUUGCUGCUGCUGAGUCAGUAUGGGGAAGGGGGUGUGGUGGGGCUGGAAGUGCCUCCGCAUUCAGCAUUUGCACCAGCACAGGGGCCACUGGCGAGAGAUAAACUUUCUAGGAUCUGCCCCGCCUCCUGCAAGAGCCCAGCAGCAGCGGCGGCGAGCCGAGACCCCCAGGACCUGCCUGCAAACAUAUGGAGAGACCUCAGGGGAGCCCCCGAUAAAGCUGCCUUCUGGGAGUCAGCUGAAUCCGUACCCCAGUCCAUGGCCGGGGAGAUCCAAUAUGGAAAUGGAUAAUGUACUGUAAGGUUUCUCUGUCGUCAUCCUUUUCAGCUAGCAGAAAGAACCAUGUCAUCUGUCCACUAAGGGCCGCAAGGAUAUUUGUUAUCUGGUCAGAGGAGGAUAUUCACACCCUGUGGUAGCUUAAAAACAGUGUGACUGCUUAACUGAACAAUGCAAAUGGUAGGGUUUUUCCUGGAUCCACAAAAUUGAUUAGAAACAAAUAAUAAUGUGAUGUUUUUUCGGGGUUCUGACUGAUAGUUCGAGAAGUUCAAAGGUCGACAAUUUUUUAUUUUUUUCUUACAUUGUUUCCAACUUUUUCAUCAUCAUUAUCAUUAUUAUUAUUAUUGUCCUUUUAUUUAUAUGGCGCCACAAGGGAUCCGCAUCGCCCGUCACAGAGUACAUAAUCAAAUGAGCAAUCAAGAAAACAGCCCUUACAGUACAAGACAAUAUAGGACAGGUGCAGAAAACCAGGAUAUAGGUGCCAUCAAGGGGAGUAUGGAGUAUACGAUAGUGUAAAUAAGAAAAGGAAAGGCACAUGAGGAAAGAAGUCCCUGCUCUUGCGAGCUUACAAUCUAAAAGACAUAUAGACUAUGUCCACAUAGACUAUGAUUGGUAACCUGUGUUUAGUGCAUUGGUAGGGGAGCGAGGCACCUUGUCCGAAGCAUGGCGACACAAAACACAAAAACCACUUUGAGACCGAUAUUUUUGUGUUGAUCAUUUCCAUGUCGACCUUUUGUACCUGUCAUCCUAAGGCAUGUUGACCAUUUUGGUGUCAACCAAUUCAUUGACAAUCUUUUAAUUCACACCCGUUUUUUUCAUGCUACAAAAAAAUAAGCAACUUUAUCCUGAAGUAUUAAAUAUGUAUGAGGGAAAUUCAAUGGUUUUUACAUGCCCUCUCAAGCCCAAUCUCCCGUCUAAAGUGAUGGCGCAAUAGUCAGAUUUGUGCCGCAGGAACGAAUUACACGUAUUGCACCCGAAUGCACCGAUUUUAAGAUGCGUAAAGUCGCUAAACCCUUUCAAAGUACUGGGCAUGCUGCUUUUGGGUGCCCGAAAGCCAGACUCUCUUUGUGGAUUUCUGCUCACCACGUCAGGAGGGUAGGAGUAGAAAUAAUGGGCGCCAGCAGACCUCACACCUAUCUGCACAUACAAUUUAAUUGCUUCCCGUCACUUUAAACAAUAGCUACGGACAGCGCAAAACAACUGAAUUCCCCCCAUAAAAAGCAAAAUAUGUUACUGUUGUCUGUAUUGUAUCUAAUGUGAUUCCAGCUGUUUUUGUUUUGUAAUGCAAAUUUCUUUAAAAAUAAAUGUAAAAAAAACUGUUUUUAA